GGAGGAUCCGAGCGUUAUCCGGAUUUAUUGGGUUCAAAGGGAGCGUAGGUGGACUGGUAAGUCAGUUGUGAAAGUUUGCGGCUCAACCGUAAAAUUGCAGUUGAUACUGUCAGUCUUGAGUACAGUAGAGGUGGGCGGAAUUCGUGGUGUAGCGGUGAAAUGCUUAGAUAUCACGAAGAACUCCGAUUGCGAAGGCAGCCUGCUAAGCUGCAACUGACACUGAUGCUCGAAAGUGUGGGUAUCAAACAGGAUUAGAUACCCUGGUAGUCCACACGGUAAACGAUGAAUACUCGCUGUUUGCGAUAUACAGCAAGCGGCCAAGCGAAAGCGUUAAGUAUUCCACCUGGGGAGU
rnacentral:rRNA from 1 species